rnacentral:rRNA from 1 species
UAGGUUACGUCAAGACCCGCGGGUAUUAACCGUAGGCUUUUCUUCUCUACUGAAAGUGCUUUACAACCCGCAGGCCUUCUUCACACACGCGGCAUUGCUGGAUCAGGGUUGCCCCCAUUGUCCAAUAUUCCCC